rnacentral:tRNA from 1 species
UAUCUAAGUAGUUUAAUAAAAAAUACUGAUUUGUGGAGUCAGAGAUGUAAAUAUUAUCUUGGAUAA